rnacentral:lncRNA from 13 species
GCAAAGUACUAUGAAGGCACCACUGAUCUCGGCAAGAGGCGCAACAUUCAGAAAAAUUCACAAUUCAGGGCAAUCAUAUGUACAUACAGUCGAAUGAUGGCCAGCCACACAGGAGGGUGAUUAUCACUAAGGAGGAGAAGGAGGCUUUGCUGACCGAGAUGCAUGCUGGCCAUUUCGGAGUGAAGCACGUGAUUGCCAAAAUCAACCUAUGCUUCUUCUGAUGGGGAAUUGUCAAGGAGGUGGACAGCUGGGAAAGUGAAAUAACCUUUUGGUUAUCAAUCACAUUCUAUUAUAUCUGAAAUGAUUAUGAUUUCAAUGAAUGUCAUAUCAGAGAGCACACAAUGUUUCAAUUUGUCACUUUGUGCUUAAAGGUCAGUACCCUGUCUAGCCUGCCAGAAGUUUGAGAGGGUGAAGACUGUGGUGCCGGAGUUGAAGCCCAUCAAAGUUGUUUCACCAUGGCGUAUGAUCGGAAUUGGCAACAGCUGGUGUCUGACGGCGACCAAUCACUUUACCAAGAGGGUGGAGGCAAUAGCCAUUACGAUCACUGAAACCCCAUCUGAUGUGGUGGAAGUUGUCGAACCAGAUCAGAAGGCCUUCAAGAACCACCUCCAGGCACGGACUGAGGCUGUGGAGGUUUUUGACCAGGUGAGACUGAACAUGGCCCAUCGCCUGUCCGAGCUCCCCAGGAGGUAUCCCAUCCACCAGAGCCAGUUGAGUUCGGAUCAGUCUGAUUCUCUGUGCUCUGAGUCAGAGGGGGACCAGCUUGAGGACCUAGGGGUUCUGCCCAACACCCAGACGUGGAUCCACCUGAUGUUCUACAUUACCAACCACCCUCCAACUUCUCAUUACAUCAUCUACAGCUACUGUUAUUGUCAUAUUGUCAUUAUCUGCCAAGAAAGUUUUCAUUCUCUAUCACACUGGGCACAUAAUAUGUGAGAAACACAGAUUAACUAGCAUUGCAAAUACUCAGAACAAAGAGAGUAACAGUGCCUGGACUUUGCCUCAUCAAGUCCCCCUUCUGAGACUGGCUGCCUGUUGAGAACAAGUGACAGGCAGAACAUCCCACCCACCCACACAGCAACCACCUCCUCAAAAUUCCACACACCAGAAUUCGGUAUUUUAGUGUACACAUUUUUUGUGUGUGUGAAAAUAAGUUAAUGACACAAAAAAAGAUCAACGUUUAUGUAUUAAAAUCUGGAAAAAAAUGGACAGGUUUGUUUUCACAGGUGUUUGACUGGGUGUUCAUUAUUGUAAGUUGUAAGGUAUUCUUUGAUGGUAUUUAUUUGUUCCACGUUAUUCAUUGUUGUAUCCUUGGACCUACACUAGAUACCUAUAUAUUCAUCCACAAGGGUGUACUAAUGAGCUAUGUGAGAUAGAAAAAAUUAACCAUAAUAGAUGAAAAUUAACCACCACUGAAAUAUUAUUUCAGUGUAGAUAAGGGAAGAGCCCCCAUUGAUUUUGUUAGUCACUCUCACUCAAAUAUCAUAUUAAAAUGGUAUAAAAAGUCAUGGCAAAAUGACAAACAAUUGUUCUGUAAAGCAAACGUAUGUGUUUAUCUUUUGUUAAUAAAAUACUUUUUCUGCAAACAGAUGUAUAAAAUUAGAGUUUUUAUUAUAGUCCUGGUGCUGACUUCAUGUUAGUUAAUGUGUAGAGGCUAAUUGUAUAGUCUAUGUGUUUGUAGAUCGACUGAGGUGAAUGAAGCUACAGCAACCAAUGUGACUGUGGCUGGGGUUAUUUUUGCUUGUAUUUGCUCUUCCCCAAAUAGCAUUUUAGAAUUGUUUUAUUACAGAAAAUGAGCUUCAACUUUCUUAAAAAAAAAAGUACAUGCAGGGCCAUAGCUACGUAUAAGGACACCGAUGUCGGGACCUAUGAAAUGUUUUCGUAUU